rnacentral:lncRNA from 1 species
UAUAAGGGUCAUUCCAUGGGGUUGGGGCAAAAAUUGUGACAUCAGGGUCAAAAAAUAGAAAUGUAAUAAAUGAAAUGUUUUAUUUCUUAUAUGUUUCAUGGGACAAUCCUUCAACUAAAUCCACUUACAGGCAUUUCAUACCACCCUGCAUAUUGGAGUAAACUGAGAAAUAAGAUUUGACAAAAUACCACCGUUACAUGGACAUCAUUUAUCAUCCUUACUAAGACUAUGCUCUCCCACUGUCAAAAUAAAGGGGUUGAUCUCCAUUACUCUUGAUAAAUAUUUUGCUAACAACAUUGUUAGUCACUUUAUUCCACACUUUUCAACAUGGCAUAUAUAUUUUGAAAGAUUUAGCAUCAAUAAAUGGAACUUGAUGCUCUGUGUGUAUACCAGUGCCAUGUUCUGUGUCGUUCUUUUUUCUCACCAGUCUAGAAAAUUGAAUUUAUGAUGGCAUGUAGAACUAAAUAGUUGAGAGAAGUCAUGCCUCAACAGAAUGAAAUAUUCUCUUUGGAAAAACUAAACUACUCUUUCUGGCAUAACCUUCUAUUUUUAGUGUUACCACCGCUACAUGGACAUCAUGUCUCAGUAACAGAGGUAUACUUAGAAGCAAUGUUAAGUUAAUGUCCAUUAAUGGCCAUUACACACCAAAUUCCACUUCAUGCCUUAGAAUAUUUGCACAAGAUCAAUUGAUUACACUAAAGAAAAACAUUUUGCAUGUCAAAUUCUUUGCAAAUAAAAGCAAAUUAAAUUAGAGUUUAAACAAGGAAAAAUGUACAAAAUUAUUGACAAAUUAUAUUUAAAAUCAUACUACGAUAAUCCUCAAGUUUCCACUUCCGUCUACCUCUGGAAACAUUUACGUUUCUGCCUAAAGGGAAAAAACAAAACAGUGCUAUCUUAUGAUCUCCAAUUCUUUUUACUUUAAAAUAACUCCUUCAAGAUAUUACUUUCAAAUGUACAUACCACCGUUACAUGGACAUCAUGUCUCAGUAACAGAGGUAUACUUUGAAGCAUUGCUAAGUUAAGGUCCAUUAAUGGCCAUUAAACACCAAAUUCCACUUCAUGCCUUAGAAUAUUUGCACAAGAUCAAUUGAUUAUACUAAAAGACAUUUUUCAUGUCAAAUUCUUUGCAAAUAAAAGCAAUUUAAAUUAGAGUUUAAACAAGGAAAAAUGUACAAAAUUAUUGAUAAAUUUAUAUUUAAAAUAAUACUAAGGUAAUCCUCAAGGUUCCACUUCUGUCUAUCUCUGGAAACAAAUGUUUCUGUCUAAAGGGGAAAAAAACAAAAGAGUGCUAGCUUAUGAUCUCCAAAUCUUUAUUACUUUAAAAUAUCUCCUUCACGAUAUUACUUUCAAAUGUACAUACCUCCGUUACAUGGACAUCAUGUCCUUGUAAUGAUCAUAUUGAAUAGUAUUACAUGUACUUGCCAUUCUUUUAGUAUCAACACACUAAUGCGAGUUAACUCAUCUUACUCAAGUGUAGAAAUACAACAUCUACAGGCAAGCUUCUAAAAUGCAUCAAUGAACAGGUUACAAGUUUAUGAACUUCAAGAUGAUCAGUGACCCAAUGACAACUGUGUGGAAGAGGACUCUGUCAAUGUCACAAAAUAGAUAGAGGUAGAAUUGUGCCUCGCCAUCAGGCCAGGAGUACAGGUCACCAGAUUGACACUUCAUGUACUGAAGAUAUAUAUUUUUACCUUCAACAGAG